rnacentral:rRNA from 1 species
CGGCGUGCUUAACACAUGCAAGUCGACGAAGCAGUUCGGAAGCUUGCUUCUGAACUGACUGAGUGGCGGACGGGUGAGUAACGCGUGGGUAACCUGCCUCAUACAGGGGGAUAACAGUUAGAAAUGACUGCUAAUACCGCAUAAGCGCACGGUAUCGCAUGAUACAGUGUGAAAACUCCGGUGGUAUGAGAUGGACCCGCGUCUGAUUAGCUAGUUGGUGAGGUAACGGCCCACCAAGGCGACGAUCAGUAGCCGACCUGAGAGGGUGACCGGCCACAUUGGGACUGAGACACGGCCCAAACUCCUACGGGAGGCAGCAGUGGGGAAUAUUGCACAAUGGGCGAAAGCCUGAUGCAGCAACGCCGCGUGAGCGAAGAAGGUCUUCGGAUUGUAAAGCUCUGUCCUUGGGGAAGAAUAAAUGACGGUACCCUUGGAGGAAGCCCCGGCUAACUACGUG